rnacentral:rRNA from 1 species
UGGGGAAUCUUCCGCAAUGGGCGAAAGCCUGACGGAGCAACGCCGCGUGAGUGAAGAAGGCCUUCGGGUCGUAAAACUCUGUCUUCAGGGAAGAAAAAAAUGACGGUACCUGAGGAGGAAGCCCCGGCUAACUACGUGCCAGCAGCCGCGGUAAAACGUAGGGGGCGAGCGUUGUCCGGAAUUACUGGGCGUAAAGGGCGCGUAGGCGGUCAUUUAAGUCAGAGGUGAAAACUACCGGCUCAACCGGUAGCCUGCCUUUGAAACUGGAUGACUUGAGGGCAGGAGAGGGGAGUGGAAUUCCCAGUGUAGCGGUGAAAUGCGUAGAUAUUGGGAGGAACACCAGUGGCGAAGGCGGCUCUCUGGCCUGUUUCUGACGCUGAGGCGCGAAAGCGUGGGGAGCGAACGG